ensembl:lncRNA
AUGGAGGACAGGGUGGAGCCGGGAGGGAGGGGCACUCGGCGCGGGAGUAAGGGGGGGAGGGGCGGAAAGGUGGAAGAGCUGGAGCGCAGGGUGAAGAAAGAACCGGGAAGGCGCGCACGGGAGAGCACGGCCUGGGGCGUGGCUUGGGCCGGGGGCGUGGCGCAGGACGCGGCGCGGGUACGUCUGGCCCCCCAGCUUCCGCUCAGCCCCCUUCUGGCGCUGGGGGCCGCCGGAGCCCGUUUCCUACGCGGGGCACGCGGCCGGAAGGCCGGGCCGCCUCCCCGUCUCGGGGCUCCUGCGGUGGAGUCCGCACCCCGAGGGUCGCUCGGGAGCGAGUGCACGCCCGUCUCUCGGGGCUGGCCGGGCCGGUUUGCAGGCAGGGACCAUCCACUUAACUGCCACACCAGGAAUCUCAAAUAUGCAGGGACAAGAGAAAUACUUGUUUCUCAUCAGGCCCUUGGACACCCUCUGGCUAUAUACUCAGGGUGUGGUGGGAAUGAGCAGAGAAGGGCUUUGGUGUCAAUGGAUAGUUUAGCCUGGAGUGUUCCACAGAAACACAAAAGCAGAAUCGCUGUGCAUAAUGACAACCUUUGGCUGGAUCAGAGUGGGACCCAGACUCCCCCAGCCUAUGAGGCCCGGAGAAGUGAGGCAUACGGGAAUGAGAAGAUUUCUGCCUCAUGUGUACUGAACAGACACAUUUUAAGGUCAGGACCACAGUUUUGUAUGGUUCCAUGCCUUUCUUGACAAAAUGCAGGCAGGACACGGGUAUCUUGAGAACCUUCAGCCUCAGAGGCUCUUUGGGCCAGUGGGGCAGGCCACGGUCACCAGGCACAAGGGCAGAAGCUGGCCAGCUGACUGCUGCCUUGGUGAGUUAGGAGCCACUGCCAGGAGAUGGUUAACCUGGCAUCUCCUGAUGCCAGGAGAAGGUUAACCCUGACUAGGGGAUUGAGCUGUGCCUCUGCUCCUUUCCUGCCUCCUUGGACUUGGCCUGACAAUUGCCUUUAUGUGGCAGCUUCAGAAAGCACCUGGCAGACCCCCGAGACAAAACUGAGAUCAUAGUUACCAGGCCUCCCCGGUAACUGUCACUAAAUGCUCUUCUGCCUGAGGAGAAACGCGUGUGGUGUGUUUGCAGCCCUUGCUGGGGUUUCAGGAGGAAAUGGACCAGUGAAGGGAACACGCAGUGUCUUGGGCACUGAAAUGAAAAGAAUUUCUGGUCACAAACCACAUGGGAGCCCCUCUAGCAAGAAAAGUGGUGUUGUACCCUGUCCCACUGCCACAUCACAAUGCAAGCUCAUAAAGCUGGAGCACAGGAGAGCCAUCGUGACCUGGUAACAACUUGGCAAGUGGGCACAAUAUUGCUGACAGCUGUAACAGCACAUGGCCAGAAAUUUCCACCACGACAAAGUGGAACUUGGCACCGACACAACUCCACACUGUGAGAGUGUAGGCAGACCCUAUACCGCACACUACUGCCACCACCACGCCAUGCCACGAGGGUUGUCAUGUGACAACCUGAUAGCCCCACUGCCCUUAGCAUGGGAUCACCGCUUGUGUACCACCACACUGCAAUACAGCAGCAUGUUGCAAAGUUCUAACCACAUAGCAUCUGUUUUGACCAACUUCCUUGAUGGAGUCUCAUCAGCUCAGAGGCUAGAUAUUUCAGGGACCUUUAAGCCCAGCCUGGACGCACCACUGACAGAAACGUCCAAAGGAGUUCCCUCUGGCUGCUCCCUCCCAGUGCUAUUGGUGGACAUGCCUGCCUAGUUUACCAGGUGUGAGGACAGAGCUCAUUUCUUCUUCCCCUUUGUAUGUGUCAGCACUUAACAUAGCACCUAGCUGAGAGGGAGUGUAAGUAGGAAAAGGCUGUUUGGUGAAUAUGGCCUUGAGGUAAAGAGAUCCAAUGACAUCAGGGGGUCAUUGUAUAAGUCAUAGUCACAGGCUCAGAAGUCACUUCAGACUAGAAUCAAUGGUUCCCAGAAUGUACUCAUUCCUAUAUUUAUUUUUGCCAUAUUUGUGUAUUACUUAUUAAGCACGGUAUCUUUAAAUGUACAUAUUUUUUAAACAUGCAAAUCACAUUCCUUAAAAAGAAGAUAAAAAGCCAAAAGAAUCGAUAGCCCCUUACCCCAUCUCCCUGGAGGAGUUAUCCCGAUGUUGGCCUCUGGGCCCUGCUUGAUGUGUGAGGGCUACAUUUCAGAUGCUAAAGCCUGAGACAGUCUGUGCCCCCAGAUGAAGAGAAGCUUCCAGGGAUCUGGUGGCAUCAGCCACAGCCAGGUAGAGGGCAUUGGGCCUGUGUGUGUGUCUGAGGCUCAGAAAAUGGUUGCCACAGGGAGACUAGGAGACUUAAAUUGGUCUCCUUGGGCCUUCCUGGGAUAAGGGAACUGGGGCUCUUGCAGUAUGCUGGCAGGGGAUAUAAUCCUGGAACUACUCUGUGUUACAAUACCACCCUAGCUAACUGACAUUUAUUGAGCUCUUCAACUAACGUAUCCUACACUCUCUUUUAAAUUAUAUAGCACCUGGAUGAGGUUGGUAUUUUCCACUAUUGCCUGUUGGCAGUUGGUAAACUGAGGCUCAGAGUGGUUGUGACUUGCACAAGGUCACACAGCUAGCAAGAACCAGAGGCAGAGUUCAACUGCAGGCUGGCAGUUCUCUGGUUUCAGAGUCUGGACUCCUAACCAUUAUACUUGACCUCCUCUCUGAGCUGUUUUCCCUAAUUUGCACCUAGCUGCCCAGUGUGGCCAGGAAACACAAGUUGGGAUGGGUCACCAUAUUUGGGAUGAUGUCUUGCUCACCCUGUUUGCUGGGACAAAGCCAUUCUCUGGGGGUUUGGUGAAGCCAGUUGAUGAGACCUAGCGCAUCUGGAAGCCAGUGGUCAGCUGACAUGUGUGGCACUCUUUCCCUAAAUAUGUCUAGGGGUCCAGCCAGAGCUGCACCAUGAGGUAUUAGCACAAUGAAACCUACUCAGACAUUAAUAAUGAAUGAGAAGUUGGAUGUGGCCAAUUCACUUGCCACCGUUUUGCUUAACUAAAUGACACUCCCAGAGAUUUGUAGUAGUAAUUACUCCUUCUUUGCCACAUCCUCUUUUUCUCCCACUAAUCUGCUCCUAGAAUCCACCUCCAAGGCCUGUCAUGGCUAGCUGUUUUUGAAUCGACAACAUUUUCAAUCUUUCUGACUUGCUGGAACUUUGUCCUGGUUUGGAGCACAGAGAGGUUGGCUCCUGAAUGUGGCAGUCCCCAGAUGGAAGCCUUGAGAUGGUGAGAACAGAUAUUUACCCUAAAAUAUAAGGUCAUUAAUACUACAUAGAAGCCAAGUACAUGUGCACAUAUGUUCAUAGCAGCCCUACUCACAAUAGCCAAAAGGUGGAAAUAGCCCAAAUGUCCAUCAUUGGAUGAGUGGAUAAACAAAAUGUGGUAGACCCAUACAAUGGAAUAUGAUUUAGCCACAAAAAGAAUGAAAUAUACAUGCUAUAACAUGGAUGAACCUUGAAAAGAUUAAGCUAAGUAUAAGAAGCCAGACUCAAAAUGCCACCUAUUGUAUGAUUCCAUUUAUAUGAAAUAUUCAGAAUAAUAAAUCCAUACACACAGGCA